rnacentral:sRNA from 2 species
AACAGCUGAAAAGAAUGCAAGAUAAGAAAUUGAGAACAUACUAGUACUGCAGAGCUGUGAUUCACAGAAGAUCAGUUCCAGAGAAUCAGCAGCGUUUGAGUGAGUAUCAUAAUCAGCACUAACUGAAUAUCAGUCUAGUUAUCUAGAUCAAAAAAUUCAUAGGAUAGCUGGCUUCCUAUCAUCAUGCCCAACAUCUUUACUUAUAAACAGCACAUAUCAAUGGCGGCCUAUCAUUGGAUGUCGGAUGAUGGGAAUAUCUGUGAUUUUUAAGUUAAGUUGAUGUAUGUACAUGUACUAUACCUGUAAAAAUAGCUCGAUCCCUAGGAAUAAU